rnacentral:rRNA from 1 species
AUUGAACGCUGGCGGCAUGCCUUACACAUGCAAGUCGAACGGCAGCACGGGAGCUUGCUCCUGGUGGCGAGUGGCGAACGGGUGAGUAAUACAUCGGAACGUACCCUGAAGUGGGGGAUAACGUAGCGAAAGUUACGCUAAUACCGCAUAUUCUGUGAGCAGGAAAGAGGGGGAUCGCAAGACCUCUUGCUUUAGGAGCGGCCGAUGUCGGAUUAGCUAGUCGGUGAGGUAAAGGCUCACCAAGGCGACGAUCCGUAGCGGGUCUGAGAGGAUGAUCCGCCACACUGGGACUGAGACACGGCCCAGACUCCUACGGGAGGCAGCAGUGGGGGAAUUUUUGGACAAUGGGCGCAAGCCUGAUCCAGCCAUGCCGCGUGAGUGAAGAAGGCCUGGUU